rnacentral:tRNA from 1 species
CGCGGGGUGGAGCAGUCUGGUAGCUCGUCGGGCUCAUAUCCCGAAGGUCGUGGGUUCAAAUCCCACCCCCGCAA